GAAAAAAGAUUAAAGAAAUCCAAGGUAGAGCUUGGUACUGAUAAUGCCAAGGUCGCAGGUUCGAUUCCUGUAUGAGACAGCUACA